rfam:Sordaria macrospora k-hell, WGS project CABT02000000 data, contig: 2.2
ACAUACGACCAUAGAUGGUAGAAAACUCGGGAUCCCGUCCGCUCUCCCAUAGAUAAGCUACCAAUCGCCAGACUAGUAGUUGGGUCGGUGACGACCAGCGAAUCCCUGGUGUUGUAUGUU